rnacentral:rRNA from 1 species
AUUGAACGCUGGCGGCAGGCCUAACACAUGCAAGUCGAGCGGAUGAGAGGAGCUUGCUUCUCGAUUCAGCGGCGGACGGGUGAGUAAUGCCUAGGAAUCUGCCUGGUAGUGGGGGACAACGUUUCGAAAGGAACGCUAAUACCGCAUACGUCCUACGGGAGAAAGCAGGGGACCUUCGGGCCUUGCGCUAUCAGAUGAGCCUAGGUCGGAUUAGCUAGUUGGUGAGGUAAUGGCUCACCAAGGCGACGAUCCGUAACUGGCCUGAGAGGAUGAUCAGUCACACUGGGACUGAGACACGGUCCAGACUCCUACGGGAGGCAGCAGUGGGGAAUAUUGGACAAUGGGCGAAAGCCUGAUCCAGCCAUGCCGCGUGUGUGAAGAAGGUCUUCGGAUUGUAAAGCACUUUAAGUUGGGAGGAAGGGUUGUAGAUUAAUACUCUGCAAUUUUGACGUUACCGACAGAAUAAGCACCGGCUAACUCCGUGCCAGCAGCCGCCGUAAAAC